rnacentral:tRNA from 1 species
GAGGGAGACCUAAUUCAGGUAUGGGACGAAAAAAAAGUAGUCGCUACCAAGAAUCAAUCCCAAAAGGUCGGAGCGAGGUAUGAGGCUUUCAAACUAGGUUCUGGGUUCAAACAAGACCUGAAUCAGGAACAAGGGCUAUUAGCUCAGGUGGUUAGAGCGCACCCCUGAUAAGGGUGAGGUCCCUGGUUCGAGUCCAGGAUGGCCCACCUGCACAGGUGGCAAAAACAAGAGAAGCGAGGAAUCAGCACCUUAUCUUAUCUAUAUAUAAGAGAGAAUGCUGGCUCUGAGUAAAGAGUCCAGAGGAACCUUGAAAACUGCAUAGAGCUAGGUGAAAAAGCCAAAAAAGAAGACCGCAA